GGGUUCGCAAAACUGAUUUAUGAGUGGAAAGCAUAAUCAAUUAUAUAUCAUUUUGAUAAUUGUUGAGUCCAAUGUAUGUUUUAAAUCAAGGAUUUUACGAAACUGGUUUAUAAGUGGAAAGUAUAAUCAAUUAUGUACAACUUUAACAACGGUCGUACUUAAGUUGGUUGAAAAAAUUUUGAGAAUAAGCUGAUGUCACUGAAAAAAUAUCUAGAGUAAGCUGUCACUUCAAUUUAUAAAACUUGUAUGCAUAGUUGGUGAAGAGGGGUUUAAGAGCCCGAAACGUGUAAUUUUUUCACACGUAUCAACUAAAUAAAAAUAAGAGAACCCGCCAAGUGUCUUAAUUUAUAGCACUUCAUUGUGUUAGGAGCAGCUACAGGAAAGGACUUUGACGAUAAACGUUUAGGUCACAUGAAAUGCCUACGAGUGGUCGCUGUAUUCAAACUUUUAAUUAUUAAUGAUCGCCAUUUUCUAAAUUUUUCCAAA